rnacentral:lncRNA from 1 species
AGGCUGAGAGGAGUGUUGCUGCACUCUGCUCCAGAGGCGGUGGCUUUGAGGCGUGACCCUGCCCACGCUUCGCCCCGCCAGCACCAGCUCCUCAGCAAGGAGGGCCCGCUUGAGAAGACGAAUAAGACAGUGUCGACGAGAGAUACGAAGAGAAGAGAAAAAGGAGCCCCCCAGCCUCGCUGCCUCGUCCGUGCGCCCAACCCCUGCAGCAGAUGACGCGCUCAUAGUGCAUCAGCUGGGGCGGAGAAUGGAGUUCUGUGGCCGAGGCUUUCUAG